ensembl:rRNA 5S_rRNA 5S ribosomal RNA
GCCAGCAGCCAUUUCACCCUGCAACCCACAACUGGCAACCCACUGAAGCUCAGCAGGUGUGAGCCUGGUCAGUAUCUGGAUGGGAGACCUCCUGGGCAAAACUAAGGUUGCUGCUGGAA